rnacentral:snRNA from 1 species
UACCAGCACUAAUGCACCGGA